rnacentral:rRNA from 1 species
GACAGAGGGUGCAAACGUUGCUCGGAAUCACUGGGCGUAAAGGGCGUGUAGGCGGGUAGAUAAGUCGGGCGUGAAAUCCCUAGGCUCAACCUAGGAACUGCACUCGAAACUGUUUAUCUUGAGUGCCGGAGAGGAAAGCGGAAUUCCUGGUGUAGAGGUGAAAAUUCGUAGAUAUCAGGAGGAACACCAGUGGCGAAGGCGGCUUUCUGGACGGUAACUGACGCAUG